rnacentral:rRNA from 1 species
GACGAACGCUGGCGGCGUGCUUAACACAUGCAAGUCGAACGGAAAGGCCCUGCUUUUGUGGGGUGCUCGAUUGGCGAACGGGUGAGUAACACGUGAGUAACCUGCCCUUGACUUUGGGAUAACUUCUGGAAACUGGGGCUAAUACCGGAUAGGAGCUCCUGCUGCACGGUGGGGGUUGGAAAGUUUCGGCGGUUGGGGAUGGACUCGCGGCUUAUCAGCUUGUUGGUGGGGUAGUGGCUUACCAAGGCUUUGACGGGUAGCCGGCCUGAGAGGGUGACCGGCCACAUUGGGACUGAGAUACGGCCCAGAAGCCUACGGGAGGCAGCAGUGGGGAAUAUUGCACAAUGGCCGGAAGCCUGAUGCAGCAACGCCGCGUGCGGGAUGACGGCCUUCGGGUUAUAAACCGCUUUGGCCUGUGACGAGGCGUGAGUGACGGUAAUGGGUAAAGAAGCACCGGCUAACUACGUG